rnacentral:lncRNA from 1 species
GGAAAAUGGGACUUACCGAUCAGAAUAAGAAAUUGUUCGGUUCAAAAUGAAGCUUUUGCCACCGCGAUCGUUUAGGCAUGUUCAAAUUAAAAUUUAAACCAUUCAGUGUUUGGAUCUUAUAGAGAGAAGACAGAGCAAUUAUUUAGGAAAAAAGGUUUCUGUUUAGAGGGAGAAAGGAAAAAACAGAAAUGAAGAAUCUGACUUUUGGAAAAGGAUUUUGCUAAGGUCAGGUUCCCUUAGUCUGGGCCUGA